rnacentral:rRNA from 1 species
AUGGCCGGCAAGGAGCUGAGCGAGGAGCAGAUUGCGUCGAUGCGGGAGGCCUUCUCCCUCUUCGACACUGACGGCGACGGCCGCAUCGCCCCCUCGGAGCUCGGCGUCCUCAUGCGCUCCCUGGGUGGGAACCCGACGCAGGCGCAGCUCCGCGACAUCACCGCCCAGGAGAAGCUCACGGCGCCCUUCGACUUCAAGCGAUUCCUCGAACUCAUGCGCGCCCACCUCCGCCCGGAGCCCUUCGACCGCCCGCUCCGCGACGCCUUCCGCGUCCUCGACAAGGACGCGUCGGGCACCGUCUCCGUCGCGGACCUCCGCCACGUCCUCACCUCCAUCGGCGAGAAGCUCGAGCCCCAUGAGUUCGACGAGUGGAUCCGCGAGGUCGACGUCGCCGCGGACGGCACCAUCCGCUACGACGACUUCAUCCGCCGCAUCGUCGCCAAGUAG